UUUUCCCUUUCCUGCCCUCUGAAGAUGCAUGGGAAUUUCAUGUUUAUGUUGUAAGCAUGUUCACUGACUAAUAACUUAUUGUUUACAGUUGCUAGCCUGUGCUGAAUUUCUUUAAGGGCAUUAAUUAUCAAGGGUACCAUUUUCUAUUGCCUGUCUGAGUAAGCUCAGGAACAGGAUGACAUUUUAAGUACACCUUUAGGCUAUGCUCUGUCUUCACAUGAUGCUAAAUUCAGAGAACAAAAGACAAAACCAAUCUGAAAAACCACCAAGCCAUUUGUCUGGCACCACAUAGUCAACAGGUCCAGCCAAAGGAUUGAAUGCUCACAUUUUAUUUGCUUUUUAACUGAGAUCCUUGGGCAGAGAGAGAGAGAGAAAGGGAGACGCAAGAGCUCUGUAGCAAAUGACAUGUGCUCAUUCCACUUCAGAGGGUGCUGUGAGUGAAAUGGAAUAUCCAGUCCCUAACUUUGAGGAACACACAACCUGGUACAGAGAACAAACUGCAUAGGAUUAAAGGAUAAUUCUGACCAAGGGCGAUAAGACAAGAUUCAUGUUGUAAAGUUCCUAAGGAACUGCACAUAAAGAAAUACUUCUACUUUUUUUUCCGUAUGUUGUGUUCUUUGUCUUUCUUUUGCAGAGAUGGAGUUGAAUGGUUGUUCAAUGAUCUGCAGCUCAGCUGUUAUUUCUCUCCCAAAGUUCAAGUUUUCUCUAAGUAGCUUCAUUCAAAUCAUUCAUCCAGCUGCAGUUUAUCAAGCAAUUACAAUAUUUUAGUAUCAACGUAUCAGUGAUAGAGUGACAAUAGUUGACAGGACAGGAGCUGGGACAAGUGCUGCUUUAAGGAGAGCAGAGGAGUUUGGAAAUAAGGGGAAAAUGUUCUGGAGAAGAGGGAAUCUGAAUUUGGCUUUGAAAUUUGAAUAGUGGUCCUAAGGCACAAGGGACAGAAUUCCUGGCAGCAGGAUCCAAGAUGGGAAAGGCCCAGAGAUGGGGCAGGUUAUUAUGCAUUUGAAGACCUCUGGAUUUGCUGAAGCAGCUGCAGAAUAUAUAGGUAAGAAUAUUUUCCACCAUUGCUGCUCAGACGUAUCGCUUUAUGAAGGAGGUGGAAGGAGGUCAGAUCAUACUCAGCACUUCCGAGUGGGGAAGAAAGAGGGAGGACUAGGACCUGGACUCAAGGAUUCUGCUCCAGACCUUUACUUGCACCACAAGCCUUCCUCCUCUGCCUCAUCCAUGCUCCCUAGUAUGCCGAGGAUGCAGCCCCAGCCAGAGGCUUCAGAAAGCUUUAAGGGGAGAGGAGCAUCCAGCAAACCAGAUGUAACUGUCUCCAGUUUCAUUUCUUAAUGUACCAGUUGCAGGUUCCUUAAAGAUCCUCGGGGGUAAAUCACCAACAAGAAUUAGCACAUCACCAGUCCAGCUUCCUCUUCCUAGCAGGAUUCUCGUGUUCCUUGGAAUCAAGCCUGGAAAUGGAAAUCUGGUGUAGUCUCAUGUUGUGAGGCAAUGCAGCCCAGCCUUUGAAAACAGAUAGACCUGCCAUGCACUUAUUCCAGACUACAAGCUGGGGAUACCAAGAUGCAUUAGACAGAUGGUUGUUCCUUUUUGUUGGAUUACAAAGACCUCCCCGUGUGUUUGAAACAUCUGUGAUGAGAGACCAAGGUUCUAACUGUGAUUCUGUCACGACUGGUAGAGUUGGUCUGGAGCAAGCCACUUACCCCUUUCAGCCAGUUUCCUCCCUGUAAAACAUGGAAAACAAUUCCUGUCACAUCUAUAUCAGAGAAGUGACAUGGAACGCAAAUAAACAACUGAUGCAACUAUAUCCUGCAAAUUUCAAGCUCUGAGUCCUUUUGGGGGCCCUUUGGUUCUUCAGCUUGACUAGCCCUGAAGUCAUUUCUUUAGGUGACUUAUUGUUCUGAGUUUGAAGACUCAAUGUUAAACCCACAAAAUGCAGCCACAGCAGUGGUUUCAUUAUCAAAACUCCAACAAGCAUUCCAGCCAGACUAAUUCCCUACUGGAUUCACUUAAUGUGUAAGGAGAUCUUUCAGCCAGACUUCACUGUGGGAAAAAAAAAAAAAAAAAGAAGAAGAAAGAUAGAAAGAAAGAAAAAAAGUAUAAAGGAAAAUUAGGAGAAAUGUGUUUUCCUUUUCUAACCAGUCUAGCAUUAUGCUAAUUUAAGGCUCUCUUUAUAAAGAUAUAGGACUUCCUCCUUUGAUUUAUUUUCAUGAUUAGGGGCCCUCACAAACAGCUGCAUGUAAAUGUGAGAGGCACCCUGUUUGCAUUUCAAGCCAGAAGAACCCUGGAAAUGGAUUUUUAAAAGGAGAGCUCAUUCCUAUCCCCUGGAGAAUUUAUCUUUAUUAAAGCCUUGAGGAAUUAAGAGACCAUGUUGGGGAACCCCCUGUGGCAAGGACCUGUGGGCAGCCUCUUGGAGCUGAUGAUAUCCUUGACAGACAGCCAGCAAAAAGCCCUCAGUCCUAGUGGAAGAAGGAAUUGAAUUCUGCUAACAACUUAAACGAGCUUAGAAGUGAGUCCUUACCCCUUCAUGUCCCAGCACCUGUGGCAAGAAUUGGGAUAUGCUGAAUUGGAAGAGGAAGGGAAAAACGCAAAAAUAUUAGCAAAAUACUUUAAAGGAAAAGCUAUAAGAGAAGAUGGAAACAACUUACAAUGAUCCAAAAGGGAGACAUUAAGGCAAGUGGAAAUGUUAAUGUAGGCUAAAAAGCCUUUUGUCUGGGAAGAAAAUGAAAAAUUCCCCUAAAGGGUAAUUCAGAAGCAAUAAUGAGCAUAGUAAGAGUCGAAUACACACCUAUUGAAUUAAACAACAAGAAUAUUGAAAAUGAUUAGUUAGCAUAUGGAGUCUUCACUGUGCCAAACUUUUAUUCAUUCAGCAAAUAUUAGCAUGCACUAACUCUUUUAUAGUUCACUUAAAUCCUAUGAGGUAAAUAAUAUUGUUACUCUCCAUUUUAUGGAAAAGGGGACUGGAAAAGUUAUGGAACUUGCCCAGGUCGCGUGGCUAGAAAGUAAAAGAUCUGGGUGUUGAAUUCAUGACUCUCUGAUCCCAAUUUUCUCACCUUAAAUCGCAAGUGCUGUGGUGGUAAUAGAAAGGAAACCCAGGUUAAGAAAUACCCACAUGCAGAUGGGAGGAAAGACAAUGAGUUUUUCCUGGAGUUUUAGAAUCACAGUGAUUGCAGAAAAUGCCAUGGAGGGAUGAGGCACAAAGAUAGAGCAUGAGAUGUGCUCUCAGAAUAAAACAGUCGGGGAGUUCCCCCUGUGGCUCAGUGGAAACAAAUCCGACUAGGAACCGUAA